GACGAACGCUGGCGGCGUGCUUAACACAUGCAAGUCGUACGGUAAGGCCCUUUCGGGGGUACACGAGUGGCGAACGGGUGAGUAACACGUGAGUAACCUGCCCACAACUUUGGGAUAACGCUAGGAAACUGGUGCUAAUACUGGAUAUGUGCUCCUGCUGCAUGGUGGGGGUUGGAAAGCUCCGGCGGUUGUGGAUGGACUCGCGGCCUAUCAGCUUGUUGGUGGGGUAGUGGCCUACCAAGGCGGCGACGGGUAGCCGGCCUGAGAGGGUGACCCGCCACAUUGGGACUGAGAUACGGCCCAGACUCCUACGGGAGGCAGCAGUGGGGAAUAUUGCACAAUGGGCGCAAGCCUGAUGCAGCAACGCCGCGUGCGGGAUGACGGCCUUCGGGUUGUAAACCGCUUUCAGCAGGGACGAAGCUUUUUGUGACGGUACCUGCAGAAGAAGCACCGGCUAACUACGUG
rnacentral:rRNA from 1 species